CCUACGGGUGGCAGCAGUGGGGAAUAUUGGACAAUGGGGGGAACCCUGAUCCAGCGACGCCGCGUGAGUGAAGAAGUAUUUCGGUAUGUAAAGCUCUAUCAGCAGGGAAGAAAAUGACGGUACCUGACUAAGAAGCCCCGGCUAACUACGUGCCAGCAGCCGCGGUACUCCGUAGGGGGCAAGCGUUAUCCGGAUUUACUGGGUGUAAAGGGAGCGUAGACGGUGCAGCAAGUCUGAUGUGAAAGGGCGGAGCCUAACCGCGGGACUGCAUUGGAAACUGGUGAACUGGAGUGCAGGAGAGGUAAGCGGAAUUCCGGGUGUAGCGGUGAAAUGCGUAGAUAUUAGGAGGAACACCAGUGGCGAAGGCGGCUUACUGGACUGUAACUGACGUUGAGGCUCGAAAGCGUGGGGAGCAAACAGGAUUAGAUACCCUUGUAGUC
rnacentral:rRNA from 1 species